rnacentral:lncRNA from 1 species
CCUCCUGAGUGCUGGGAUUGAUGGUGAGAGCUCCUUUAAAGCCGUGGCACCGGUGGAAAAUCAGAGCUGGAGCAAGGAGGGCUCUAUACGCGUACGCACAAGUCAAGUCUCUAAGAUGCAGACGAGCACUGAGCAUAAAGGUACAGCGGAGAAAACACUUCAAGAGGAGGAAGCGGGGAGUCCUAUUAUGUCCCUAGUCCAAAAGAUGGGGGUAGCAGAGGUGUAGAGAAACGCCGCCCGCUAGGAAGCCAUUCCUAUGGUAACCAUCAAGUGUUCCGUAUCAUCAGCCCUACACUGAUGACAACCUUGCUACAACUGCACAAACUACCUGUUCCUGGGGAUAACAUGGUAACCGGCACAGAAGAACAGGGACCACUGCUAAUAGCAAAAUCUCUGUAUGAUUUUGGACAAAACAGUCACACCCCUGCGCUCCACAG